rnacentral:lncRNA from 1 species
UUGGAUGUAUUUUUAUUAUAUUAAUGUAGUAUAUAUGUAAUUUAUAUGUAUAGUAUAAUAUAAUAUAAUUUUAUUUUAUUAAUUUCCAGAUCUGGCCUAAAUUUCGUGCCUUUAUCACUUCUUUUUGACCCUGAGGAAACCAUGUUUUAGUUCCACAUUUGGAGAAGAGGUGCCUUCUGACAACAUCUCUUCUAUAUUCAGGCUUCAACCGUGAGGAAAUGUCGUUCAGAUUUGGUCAACACCUCAUCAAGCCCUCUGUGGUUUUUCUCAAAACAGAACUGUCCUUUGCUCUUGUGAACAGGAAACCUGUGGUACCAGGACGAUUUACCUUUGAGCUUCAGGCCAUGCUGUGAGUGAAAGAGAUGGGCCGGUCUGACCAUGGUUAUGCAUUAAAGGAGGGAAAUAUAAAAUACAACUGGCUCUUUGAGUAGAGCUUUUAGAAAGUUCCUGCAUUCUCUCAGAAUUGCACAAAGCCUUUAGAAUCUCUUUCACAACAGGAAAAAGCUAUCUUUACAAUCUGCCUUUCUAUAGAAAAUAUAAAUCUGUUGAUGUGUGAGUGUGGAGAAGGACAGUUAGG